rnacentral:rRNA from 1 species
UACGUAGGGUGCGAGCGUUAAUCGGAAUUACUGGGCGUAAAGCGUGCGCAGGCGGUUCGGUGUGUCCGAUGUGAAAGCCCCGGGCUCAACCUGGGAACUGCAUUUGUGACUGCAUCGCUGGAGUGCGGCAGAGGGGGAUGGAAUUCCGCGUGUAGCAGUGAAAUGCGUAGAUAUGCGGAGGAACACCGAUGGCGAAGGCAAUCCCCUGGGCCUGCACUGACGCUCAUGCACGAAAGCGUGGGGAGCAAACAGG